GACGAACGCUGGCGGCGUGCCUAAUACAUGCAAGUAGAACGCUGAAGGCGGACCUUGCUCUUCUGGAUGAGUUGCGAACGGGUGAGUAACGCGUAGGUAACCUGCCUGGUAGCGGGGGAUAACUAUUGGAAACGAUAGCUAAUACCGCAUAAGAGCUGCUGUUGCAUGACAUUUGUUUAAAAGGUGCAAUUGUAUCACUACCAGUUGGACCUGCGUUGUUUUUGCUUGUUGGUGGGGUAACGGCUCACCAUGGCGACGAUACGUAGUCGACCGGAGAGGGUGGUCAGCCGCACUGGGACGGAGACACGGCACAUUCGCCUUCAGGUAGCAGCCAGAGUGAAACGUCGGCAAUGGGCGGAAGACUGACCGAGCAAGGCCGCAGGAGUGAGGAAGAUUGUCGGGUGGGAGAGCACGGUUGUAAGAGUGUAACGAGUGUGAGAGUGGAAAGAUCACACUGUGACGGUAUCUGACCAGGAAGGACCGGCUAACUACGUG
rnacentral:rRNA from 1 species